AUGGGGUUCACCACAAUCAUCCAGGGGAACCUCCCCAUCUCACGGUCCGUGGCUUAAUCACAUCUGCACAGCUCCUUUUACCACAUAAGGUUGUGAAGAUAAAAACUCAGAUAUUUGAAGUGAAAUUUUUAGGGCAAACCAGAGAUCUCUGGCAAUGCUAUCCACGAUCAAACACUGAGAUAAUGAAUGUGAAUGUGCUCUCUAAAAGUUAAAAGGAGUUAAUAGCUGCCAGGAGUCAUUACUGAGACAAGAUGCCAAGCUACAAACAGCCACCCCAGAUCACAAGAAGUACCUUGCUUGCCGCCCCAUCUCCUGACAGCAACCUAACAGGUGGGAGGCUCGAAUUUCUGCGUCAUCUCAGAUGUCUUUGGAUCUCUGGUCAUACCUCUGCUACCUACAGUUCCAGGGGAGCCCACUAGAGUCCAGCAAGGAAGAAGCAAAACACAGGAAGCCAGGAGAGCAGUUUUAUUUCUAUAGAGGAGCAAGUGGGAGAGGUAACAACCCAUACUGAGCAAACCCACUUUUUGGACAUGACCCUACUACCUUUCCCGUUAUGUGGCUGGGAGGGCAAUGGUUUCUCCCCUUUCAGCUGAUAACUGGGUCUGACCUCUAGGGGGUCACUUAUUAUAGAACCAGAAUAAAUUGAUUACAGGG